AAAUCAGUUGCUGCACAUUUCUACUGGUCAACAACUUGAUGUUGUUCGAUGGAAUGUUUCCAAUCAAGAUGAGGUUGCUUGCACAUCUAUGAAAAGUUCAAAUGUAUGCAUAUUUGACAUUGGUUACGUAUCUUCAGAACCGGUUGAAGUGUUACGGAAAAGGCAUACUAUCUCUGUUCAUGGAUAUAAUGCGCAUAAAGGUUUCUCUGAUGUAGCCUUUUGUUCCCAUGAUGACUCAAGGUUACUUGCUUCUGAUGUCUAUGGUGUUAUAAAUAUAUGGGAUAGAAGAGCCAGUGCUCUUCCAUGUCUUGAGCUGGCAACCAAUUCUAAUAGUCCUGUUAACAGUAUCAAAUUGAAUGCAGAUGAUCAGGUUACGACUAAGAUGGAUUCUUUUUUUGCUAUCAAUAAAUUCCAUUUGUAAAUCUUCUUUUUUUCCAAAUAGUAGAUCAUAUUUGGAGCUAGCAAGCAGGGAACUAUUUUCAUGUGGGAUAUUCGUGGUGGAAGAUCAUCUGCAGCUUUCCAGAAUAACAG
rnacentral:misc_RNA from 1 species